AGUCUGACGGAGCAACGCCGCGUGAACGAAGAAGGUCUUCGGAUGUAAAGUUCUGUGAUUCGGGACGAAAGGGUUUGUGGUGAAUAAUCAUAGACAUUGACGGUACCGAAAAAGCAAGCCACGGCUAACUACGUGCCAGCAGCCGCGGUAAUACGUAGGUGGCAAGCGUUGUCCGGAAUUAUUGGGCGUAAAGCGCGCGCAGGCGGUUUCUUAAGUCCAUCUUAAAAGCGUGGGGCUCAACCCCAUGAGGGGAUGGAAACUGGGAAGCUGGAGUAUCGGAGAGGAAAGUGGAAUUCCUAGUGUAGCGGUGAAAUGCGUAGAGAUUAGGAAGAACACCGGUGGCGAAGGCGACUUUCUAGACGAAAACUGACGCUGAGGCGCGAAAGCGUGGGGAGCAAACAGGAUUAGAUACCCUGGUAGUCCACGCCGUAAACGAUGGAUACUAGGUGUAGGAGGUAUCGACCCCUCCUGUGCCGGAGUUAACGCAAUAAGUAUCCCGCCUGGGGAAGUACGAUCGCAAGAUUAAAAUCAAAGGAAUUGACGGGGGCCCGCACAAGCGGUGGAGUAUGUGGUUUAAUUCGACGCACGCGAGAACCU
rnacentral:rRNA from 1 species